rnacentral:rRNA from 1 species
CAGAUGACUGGGGUGAAGUCGUAACAAGGUAGCCGUAGGAGAACCUGCGGCUGGAUCACCUCCUUUCUAAGGA